GAUGAACGCUGGCGGCGUGCCUAAUACAUGCAAGUCGAGCGAACUGAUUAGAAGCUUGCUUCUAUGACGUUAGCGGCGGACGGGUGAGUAACACGUGGGCAACCUGCCUGUAAGACUGGGAUAACUUCGGGAAACCGAAGCUAAUACCGGAUAGGAUCUUCUACUUCAUGGGAGAUGAUUGAAAGAUGGUUUCGGCUAUCAGCUAAAGAUGGGCCCGCGGUGCAUUAGCUAGUUGGUGAGGUAACGGCUCACAAAGGCAACGAUGCAUAGCCGACCUGAGAGGGUGAUCGGCCACACUGGGACUGAGACACGGCCCAGACUCCUACGGGAGGCAGCAGUAGGGAAUCUUCCGCAAUGGACGAAAGUCUGACGGAGCAACGCCGCGUGAGUGAUGAAGGCUUUCGGGUCGUAAAACUCUGUUGUUAGGGAAGAACAAGUACGAGAGUAACUGCUCGUACCUUGACGGUACCUAACCAGAAAGCCACGGCUAACUACGUGCCAGCCGCCGCCGUAAAAC
rnacentral:rRNA from 1 species